AGGUUGACUCUUCAGACAACGGCAAAAAGCAGCCACAUUCUUCACCAAAAUAUUACAAGAACAGUCUCUAGGCCACAUACUAAAAUUCUGCCCCUCUGAAACAUCCUGACCAGCAGGUCUACAGUAGUUAAAAUCACCCUCCACACAGCCAUAUUCCGCAUUCUGACUAGGGUGGUCCCUUAAGCUCCACCUAAACCAUUCCAUUGUUUCCCAAAUUCAAAGUCUCAAAACCCACCUUCCUCUAAACAAAACCACAGUGAGGCCUAUCCCAGCAAUACCCCAGUUCCUGGUACCAACUUCUGUCUUAGGUUUCCAUUGCUGUGAAGAGACACCAUGACCAAAGCAACUCUUAUAAUGGGUAAUAUUUAAUUGGGGCAAACAUACAGAUUUAGAGGUUCAUCCCAUUAUCAUAAAGGCAAUAUCCAGGCAGAGAUGGUGCUGGAGAAGGAACUGAAAGUUCUACAUCUUGUUCCGAAGACAAACAGACGAAGACUGACUUACAGACAGAGAGGAUUAGGAUCUCAAAGCCCACCUCCACAGUGAUACACUUGCUCCAACAAGGCCAUGCCUCCUAGUAAUGCCACUUCCUGGGCCAAACAUAUACAAACCACCACAGUGAGUUUUGGCAAAAUCAUGCCUGGCUUUGUCAUUAGGAUUUAGGAGAUGGGGUAGAUAUUGCUUAAGUAUCCCCUGGGAAGGAAAUUUAGCAACAUUAACCUAGCCUACUCAUUAUGUUCAGGGCAAUGGGAGCUGGAGGUGUUAGAGCUGGAGAAAUCGCUUACCUGUGACUAGCAGUUGCUGCUCAUGCCUAGGGCCCAGGUUUCAUUCCCAGUAUCCACAUGGUGUCUCACAGCCAUCAAUAACUCACUGCAGUUCUAGGGGGUCUGACACCCUCUUGGCUUCCUUGGGCACCAGACACACAGAGUGCACAUGCAGUUAAAAUACUCACAAAACAAAAAACAAGGUAAAUGAUAUCUGAGGAAUGAUUCCCAAGGUUGACCUCUGACCUCCACACACAGGUGCAUACAUAUUAUGUAUGCAUACUACCACACAGGUGCACCUACACACACACACACACACACACACACACACACACACACACACACACACACACGUGCACACACAUAUGCACAAGAGAAGGACUAAUUGCUAAGGAAGGAGUGGGUACCAGAGAUAGUGGACACAAGACCAGUUCUUCUCCAGGUAAGCAUCAGUUCCAGGACUAUAACCAGUCAAUUGAGAGCAAACCGAAGAAACC
rnacentral:lncRNA from 1 species